CGCCCGCUCGCACCGGGGCCGCCCGCGUGUCCCCCACCCCCGGUGGUGGCGGCCGCUGCCCCUGUCGCCGCUCCGCGCCCCCGAUCGCCACUCUCCGCAAUCCACACCUUGACCUCUUCCCUCUCCCCCACCCCGGGGCUCCCGCCACCGGGCCGCGGGCGUGGCCAGGGACAUCCGCCCUGAAGUUCAUGGCGACGCUUGGCAGAGACUUCUCUUGGAAGACAUGGAAGAAGAGAUCGUUCCCGGUACAAGUUUUCCAAAGCCAUAGCUACUCUUUAGUAUUAACUUUGUUCGGUUUAUUAUUUAUUUACUUAUUUAUUUAUUUUUAGGUUUUUGUUUGUUUUUGUUUUCUAAGUAGGAGGAUGACCUUUCAAAAGUCAUGGAGAAAUGAAAGAGUCUUAUAUCGCCCGAUUCACUGCGGCGGAAGAAAGACAAGCUCACCAUUCUCCUGCUCUCCCAGCACCUAUCCAAACAUAAUUAGUAUAGAUUUAUUUUGAAAUGUGUUAUUGCCCCCUUCGGGGGUAAGCUCCAUGGACAGAGGGACUUGGGGUCUAUCGUUUUCAACACUAGAAGCACAGUACACAUUUGUUGAAUGAGGUAUCGAGCCACACGCUAUGAUAGGAUGAGGCUAAAAUUGGGGGCGCAGGAAAAGAUGCCUGGCAAGGUCAAUAAACUUUCCCCCAAAGAAACACAAUUUUGGUAAAGAGUGCUUCCCUUUUCUUAAAUCCUGACAUAACUAAUUUUUUUUAUUUAUUUAUUUUUUUUUUUUUUUUUUGAGUACUUAAGCCCUAGAAGCUAGUGAGCAAUCCUAGGACUAUGUAUGAAACAUUACAAUAGUUGGUUUUUUUUUUAAUCUGAAUUGUUUUACCCUAUAACAUAAAAACAUCUAUACAGAAAGAUUAGUCAAAAGCCUAGAUACUAGCUUUUCAAUACCCAGCAUCCCACAUCAGGAAAAAAAAAGAAAAACCAUUAACCUCAAUUCUUGAUUUCUAGGAAAUCUUGCCUUGUCUUCAAAACAAAGCUUUCCUAUGAAAGACCACUUCCCUUUUUUCUUUAUCACUGAGACUUUAAACGUCACAAAUGGCCCUGAGUUUAUGACUGUUAAGCACUUACAAGAGUUAUCUGACACUAUCUUAUAGUACUUACGAUGACCCAAGUUUAUUAAGUUUUAGAGUGGGAAAUGAAAUGAUCACACACUCACUGGGCCUCAGUAGAGCAAAGUAGUUCACUUGGGGGCUUUGGUGUUGCAUAAAACUGGAUGUUUGAUUUUCUGUUUUCAUCUUAGUUCAACAUUCAUUCAUUCUCCACUCUGUUGGCUCAGGUCUGAAUUCCAGGUUGUCUGUAAUGGCUAACGAUGUCAGUCUGACUGGAUCUGAACAUCACCUAGGAGACACGCAUCUAGACAUGCCUCUAAGGGAUUAUCUAGGUUUGGUUAAUUGAUGUGAGAAGACCCACCUUAACUCAAAGUGGGCCAUUCAAUGGCCUUGGAUACUAGACGGGAUGAAAAGGAGAAAGGGAACGGAGCACAAAACAUCCGUAACUUUCGGCUUUCUGACCAUGGUUGCAACAUGAUCAGCUACUUCAGGCUUUAUUCCUUGUCUGCCAUGACCUUUGGCCACAAACUCUAAGGCAAAAUAAACUCUUAAGUCCCUAUGGCCAGACAUUUUGUUUGAGGACCAUGUAAAGUAACUAAUACAGUAUCUAUUGAUCCUA